rnacentral:rRNA from 1 species
ACUCCUACGGGAGGCAGCAGUGGGGAAUUUUGCGCAAUGGGGGAAACCCUGACGCAGCAACGCCGCGUGAGUGAUGAAGGCCUUCGGGUCGUAAAGCUCUGUCAGAGGGAAAGAAGUGUAUUGUGGCUAAUAUCCAUGAUACUUGACGGUACCCUCAAAGGAAGCACCGGCUAACUCCGUGCCAGCAGCCGCGGUAAUACGGAGGGUGCGAGCGUUGUUCGGAAUUAUUGGGCGUAAAGCGCGUGUAGGCGGUUUUCUAAGUCUGAUGUGAAAGCCCCGGGCUCAACCUGGGAAGUGCAUUGGAAACUGGGGAACUUGAAUACGGGAGAGGGCAGUGGAAUUCCUAGUGUAGGAGUGAAAUCCGUAGAUAUUAGGAGGAACACCGGUGGCGAAGGCGGCUGCCUGGACCGAUAUUGACGCUGAGACGCGAAAGCGUGGGGAGCAAACAGGAUUAGAUACCCUGGUAGUCCACGCCGUAAACGAUGAGAACUAGGUGUCGCGGGUA